AUUGAACGCUGGCGGCAGGCUUAACACAUGCAAGUCGAGCGGGGGAAGGUAGCUUGCUACCGGACCUAGCGGCGGACGGGUGAGUAAUGCUUAGGAAUCUGCCUAUUAGUGGGGGACAACAUCUCGAAAGGGAUGCUAAUACCGCAUACGUCCUAUGGGAGAAAGCAGGGGAUCUUCGGGCCUUGCGCUAAUAGAUGAGCCUAAGUCGGAUUAGCUAGUUGGUGGGGUAAAGGCCUACCAAGGCGACGAUCUGUAGCGGGUCUGAGAGGAUGAUCCGCCACACUGGGACUGAGACACGGCCCAGACUCCUACGGGAGGCAGCAGUGGGGAAUAUUGGACAAUGGGGGGAACCCUGAUCCAGCCACGCCGCGUGUGUGAAGAAGGCCUUAUGGUUGUAAAGCACUUUAAGCGAGGAGGAGGCUACUUUAGUUAAUACCUAGAGAUAGUGGUCGUUACUCGCAGAAUAAGCACCGGCUAACUCUGUGCCAGCCGCCGCGGUAA
rnacentral:rRNA from 1 species